GGGAUCAGCACUGGACAUAGCACAGCAUGGAGAUGGUGUCCCCAACUCAGUUCUUCUGUUUCCUCCUGCUUGGACUUCAAAAUGCCAAUGGACAGAUUGUGAUGACCCAAUCUCCAGCUUCCCUGUCUGUGACUCCAGGAGACACAGUCACCAUCUCCUGCAGGGCUAGUCAAGACAUUAGCAAGUAUUUACAAUGGCACCAACAGAAACAUGGUCAGUCUCCAAAGUUACUCAUCUAUUAUACAUCCAACCGGUACUCUGGGAUCCCAUCCCGGUUCAGUGGCAGUGGAUCCGGAACAGAUUACACUCUCACCAUCAGCAGUGUGGAGGCUGAAGAUUUUGGAGUUUAUUACUGUAUGCAGUAUAAAAGUUGGCCUCUCACAGUGCUCCAGCCCUGA